CCCAAUUAGGUCUCACAAAAACCCUUGAGGUGUAGCAAGAAGGAACCCCCAUCACACAGUUUAUGAGUCUGGAAACUGGUCAGUGCAUCAGACCAAUUUCUGGACAGAUGCCCAAUUCUCAGUCUUCUUUGGGCUUUUGUGAGAAUGUUGGUAGCAUGAUGGAAUGGUUUUCCAUGGAGUUAGGUGGAAGUGGAGGAAACAGGUGGGAGGAGAAGACUUCUCUGAGCCAGAGUGAUGAAUAAAGUUCUCUCUCAAAUCAGGGAACUUCUGGGGGACAAGGGAGGGCAUCCUUGACCUACACUCACCAUGAGUUCAUUGAGAAGACAAUACUGAGCAGGACCUCCCUCCUGUAGGAGGCCUUUAGCGAUGCUUCAUGGCUGGUUCAUGUCCUUCCCUACUUCUACAACAGCCUCCAAGUAACCCCACCAAAGCACUUACUAGGUACUGUUGAAAUAAUUUAUUCAGUCUGUUUUCUGCUGUAGUUCUGCUGACUUGUGGAGCAGACAAAAUGUCUUGUUUAUCUCUCAGUGCUACUUCCAUGACUAGAACAUAAUAGAUGCUCACUAAAUGUUCAAUGCGUAUAUUUUUUUAGGCUUGCCUGAGUUUUCUGUCUCUACACCACACCUUCCCUACAAUUCUGAGGCGGUCUUAUCAGGCAAAGAGCCACUCAAUGUCAUUGGCAUCCAAGACCACACCCCUACAUAGACCCAUGUUCCAGAGCAGCCUCACAACAAAAGGAGGAGCCCAGAGAGGCAAAUCUGGAACUUGCAUCAUGUCUGGACUCAGUGUCUCUGGGAGACUCUCUCAUCACAUCCUUAUUGUAGCCUCUAGAGUUUCUACCACCUAUCUCCUUCUGCAGCCUGGACAAGUCUUUCAUUGCUGUCAAGACCUUCUUAUUAACAUCCAUGAGGUCCUUGGCCAAUGCCAGCCCUACCAUCUAGCCCUGCUGCUGCUCCUUCUGGACCCACAUGGUGAUGGGGAAAUGCAUAGGUGCAACACUGGCCACCACACCCAUUCCCCCCUACUUGCAGC
rnacentral:lncRNA from 1 species